AAGAAUGGAAAACAAAAAGGAUUGGAAAGAGAAAGAGAGAAGGUUUGAUCAACUUAUCUCAAUGCCUUUCUUCUUUGUAAUUAUUUUUUCCUUGCAGUGUCAGUUUCGAACUUUCAAAUAGGUUCUUGUUAGGCCAUAUCAUUUACAUUCUAGAAUUAAUAACUGAUAAUAUUAACUGGAAUUGCCAUGUCAAGGUUUGCUAGUAAUUCUCUUUUGGAACUUUGUCCGAAUCUGGAUUGUUGAAAUCUUAUUGAUAUAUAAUCAUUGAAAAUUUUACAUAACAAGCAAGGGAUUGCAAUCUCAGCCUAACCUCCGGUAGCCAGUGCUACUAGUGCUGAUACACCCCUGUUUGGCUGAACGGGUCCCAAAUCACCCAGAUUAUACUGAACUGGGCCUGAUGCAAUCUUCAAAACCUGGUAGUAAUCAGGCCUUUCAAAAAAAUUUCUUUUUUUUGUUCUCCACAAUUUGAAGAUGGGUACAACCAGGGAAAGGGACUGUGUGGAGGUGAGGAGAUGAGGA
rnacentral:lncRNA from 1 species